UACGUAGGUCCCAAGCGUUGUUCGGAUUCAUUGGGCGUAAAGAGCUCGUAGGCGGUCUGUCACGUCGGAUGUGAAAAUCCAGGGCUUAACCCUGGACCUGCAUUCGAUACGGGCAGACUAGAGUUCGGUAGGGGAGACUGGAAUUCCUGGUGUAGCGGUGAAAUGCGCAGAUAUCAGGAGGAACACCGGUGGCGAAGGCGGGUCUCUGGGCCGAUACUGACGCUGAGGAGCGAAAGCGUGGGGAGCGAACAGG
rnacentral:rRNA from 1 species